rnacentral:rRNA from 1 species
AUUGAACGCUGGCGGCAGGCCUAACACAUGCAAGUCGAGCGGUAGCACAGAGAGCUUGCUCUCGGGUGACGAGCGGCGGACGGGUGAGUAAUGUCUGGGAAACUGCCUGAUGGAGGGGGAUAACUACUGGAAACGGUAGCUAAUACCGCAUAAUGUCGCAAGACCAAAGUGGGGACCUUCGGGCCUCAUGCCAUCAGAUGUGCCCAGAUGGGAUUAGCUAGUAGGUGGGGUAACGGCUCACCUAGGCGACGAUCCCUAGCUGGUCUGAGAGGAUGACCAGCCACACUGGAACUGAGACACGGUCCAGACUCCUACGGGAGGCAGCAGUGGGGAAUAUUGCACAAUGGGCGCAAGCCUGAUGCAGCCAUGCCGCGUGUGUGAAGAAGGCCUUCGGGUUGUAAAGCACUUUCAGCGGGGAGGAAGGCGUUAAGGUUAAUAACCUUGGCGAUUGACGUUACCUGCAGAAGAAGCACCGGCUAACUCCGUGCCAGCCGCCGCCGUAA